UGCAACGUAAAUGCUGUCUAGGUGGACAGCUCAUAGGGUUUGAGACGCAGCCAAUGUUUUUACAAAUGUUUCCAAAUCUGAUCAAAAGAGUAUCUGCUCACAUCUGAAUGAGCGCCACCAACGCAACACAUUUCAGAUGCAAUUCAUUUCAGGAAUGUCUGUAAACUGCGCGACCACCCUCUUAUUGCAGCAAAGACAAAGCGUGUGAUGCGAGAGAGCAGGACAGUGAAGAGUUAACCAUUACCGCUGUCUUUGGGGAGAUGGUGAUGUAAACCCUAAACCAUGUGACACUUUAAUAAAUCAUACCGCCGACAGAAACAAACACGCACUGUUCCAUCGACAGCCGAACAAAACACUAUUCUCCACGUCUAAACAAAGAUUGCAGGGAGAAACGAGACUAGAGCGCGCACGAGAGGAAACGAUGUGCUGUCUGCCGGUGGAGCAGACUUUAGGUGCGCUCGGAGACUCCGUGUGCGCGCACGGAUGCGCUCCGCUGCCGUUUGCGCACCGACUGCGCUGGAUCGGAGACCAGCUGGAGAAGAGAUGGGCUGCAAACGACAAAAGCUCCGACGGUGGACGACGAGGCGUCGGGGAAAACAUCAUCAAAAGCUUCCACAUAGUGUGCACAGUCAUUCAAGUAACGCUUCUGGUGUUUUUAGUCAAAAAGCGACACCUGUAGGUGAGACGAGGCUCUGCUGAUCUACAGCAACAGAUCUUCAGAUUCUCCUGGGAUGAUCCGCUCCAGAUUUACUGGAGAGGGGAAGGUGCUGAUCACGUCUGCACUCUGUAGAAACUUGCCAUGCAAACAGUGGGUCGAUGUUUUCUCAUCCAUAUAUAUCACAACAUUUGCAGUAGUGUUGUAAGGGAAACACGCAAACACCAGACGCAUCUGUGCUGUACAUUACAAGCGUGCCGAUCACUUUUCAUAACGACCGAUGCUUCAUCCUGAAGUCUUCUUGAUUAUCGAAGCACCACAAGUCAAUGUCAUAAUGGUACGUGUUUGUUUGGUUAGAAGUCUUAAGGUCAGUGCAGUCAAACCCACGGUGUCUCCUGGGAAAUUUUUCAAAAUAAAAGGCUGAUGUCAUUGUCCCUUGGCGUUUGCAAGGAAAUUUUUCUACCACUAUGGCAAUAGGAGCCUUGCCUCAACUUUGAUGAGCUUACUGUUGUUGGUAAAAGUUGAGAGGGUGCUUCGGAUAUGCAAAAGCUGUAAAUGAUUAAAACACGAUCAAUCAAGGUCAAUCUUCAGAGGAGAGCUACCAAAAACACUGCUACCAAAACCUCUCCUCUGCAUGAUGCACUGUAAGAUUUAGUUAUAAGCUACUGUAAGUGACUAUGCCAUUCAAUAUCUGAGCUGUGGUUUUGUUUCUUUGUUGUUUUUAAUGAGAUAUUUAUUAAGUUUUUUUUUUUUUUGUCCUUUACACUGUACUCCUCUCAAUGGAAAGCAUAUUUACACUGUAGAAUGAUUUUAAGUGUAUUUGAACUCGAUGUUUACAAAUGAAAACAACUCUUUUGUUUUCUUUCUUUUGUUUUUUUACUUUUUAUGAAGGGCUUCUGGCUUGAUCGUUUGUGUCAGUGUUAAUAUAGAAAUGUGACAUGAAUGAGAUUUCAUGCGAAAUGUGAAUCAAAGGGCAUGCUACUGAUGUUUACAUAAGCUACAAUCUUUUAUAGUUUAUGUUUCUACCGCGUGUUUUAAACAUGUUUUACCUCUGC